rnacentral:lncRNA from 12 species
UGUCUUAUUAACCCCUCAUCUUCUUCUUCUUAUUUUUUUAAAUCUCGGUUACCAUUACCACAGAUCUCUAAUUGAUCUACGAGUCCCUGGAAAAUCUCAAGCUCCAACUGUUUGAGUAAUGAUCCAAUAAAGUCUAAUAAGCCAUCCCCAUAGACGAUCAAGUUCAAACAAUGACAUACACGGAUCACAAGCUCCCUGAGGGCAGGACCUGUGACUGUCUUGUUCAUCUGGCACAGUGUGCACGAGAAUAUGAUAACUUCAAUAUCGAGAUCGAAACAUUGGAAGAGCCAAUAAAUGUCACUGAGGAUCUUGUUAAAUGUAAAGCAACUUCUUCACUGAACUGAUAACCUUUUAAUAGCUCUGAAAAUGACAUGCCAGUGACAUGCCAUGACUCUGAAAUGACGUCCUCCCUGGGUCUGGAUAUCACUGUUCAGCUUCACCCAGGGAAGAUGACCUUGUUGUAGAGGAUCUAGUGCUCUCCAUUUGGUGCUUAUUCAAGAGGUGAAUGAAAAAGGAAUUAUUUUAAAAAGUGAGCAAGACAUUCGUGGUCCUUCAAUUAAUAUGUGUGACAGCUCUAUGAAAGGAUAAGCCUCAGAGUGCCCAGUCUCUCUAAUUCAUGCUCAGGGGAUUUGUUCUUAUAAGUCCUAUUAAGUAGGUAAAUCCCCUGCAUAUCUGAGAAAGCACAGACUAACAAACAUCAAUUUACUUGUUGCUGGUUGCAUGCUAUAUCCUUGGCAGGUACCUAUGUAAUUCUUCUGGAAAAUAUACUUGUU